CGGACCCUACGGGACGCAGCAGUGGGGAAUAUUGCACAAUGGGGGAAACCCUGAUGCAGCAACGCCGCGUGAGUGAAGAAGGGUUUCGGCUCGUAAAGCUCUGUUGGUAGUGAAGAGAGAUAGAGGUAGUAACUGGCCUUUAUUUGACGGUAAUUACUUAGAAAGUCACGGCUAACUACGUGCCAGCAGCCGCGGUAAUACGUAGGUGGCGAGCGUUAUCCGGAAUGAUUGGGCGUAAAGGGUGCGUAGGCGGCCUGCUAAGUCUGGAGUGAAAGGGACCGGCUCAACCGG
rnacentral:rRNA from 1 species